GACUGACAGACUAACAGAGAAAACUCCAUAUGUAUCAAACACCUGGGCUACAUGUUCUGUGUUACUGAUAUCUGAGAUACAAAAGUUGUAAAACAUAUGCAGGGGAGUCAGUCCUGAUUUCUCUUUCCAUUACCAGGUAGCAACACAGAUCAAGAAACUAAUCAGAUCAGCAUUCACUGUGUGAUUAUCAGAGGAAUAAUACUUUUUAAUAUAAGUGAAUUUAAAAGAAUAUAAUGCUCAUUUUUAAAAGAACACAAUGUAAUAUCACCAGUGACACAAAGACCCAUCUGUUAGGCUAUACAGGGGGCUCAGUGGAUCAUAAAAAGGCCAAAAGGAAGUUUUACAUAAACACAGACAUAGACACAGAUACAGACACAUACAUAUAGCUACAGAUACAGAUGGACAAAACCAAAGAAAUUUCCCAGAUAAAGCAAUCAAGUAAAACUCCUUGGCAUAGAGUGAAGGCUGAACACAGUGCUGAUCCCUCCUUCUCAACAAGGAUGUAUUAGAAAGGGAAAAAAUUCGCAGAAGAGUGUGAAAAAUGACCAGUUGGAUGGAAUGGAUUCCUUAAACUGAACUUCAAAAUUAUGGCUGUUCAUUCUGGAAAAUGGGCGGCUGGAGAGACUAUGACAUACAUCUACAAAGUGUAGAAUGAAAAUGUGGAGAGUGUCAGGAUCACUGAGAGAAGCUGAGGAAAGCUGUGGCUGUUAAAGCUGAGAUGGAUACAAAUGAAGGUUGGACCAGUUCAUAAGAGAAAUCCUCUGAAAGUUACUGAUUGCAUAAGCCACCUCAUUCUCAUGCAAUCUGUGAGUACAAAUUGCUGAAAAUUAAAGGAAUAUUCAAUGGA